GACGAACGCUGGCGGCGUGCCUAAUACAUGCAAGUAGAACGCUGAAGGAAGGAGCUUGCUCUUUCUGGAUGAGUUGCGAACGGGUGAGUAACGCGUAGGUAACCUGCCUGGUAGCGGGGGAUAACUAUUGGAAACGAUAGCUAAUACCGCAUAAAAUUGAUUAUUGCAUGAUAGUCAAUUAAAAGGUGCAACUGCACCACUACCAGAUGGACCUGCGUUGUAUUAGCUAGUUGGUGGGGUAACGGCUCACCAAGGCGACGAUACAUAGCCGACCUGAGAGGGUGAUCGGCCACACUGGGACUGAGACACGGCCCAGACUCCUACGGGAGGCAGCAGUAGGGAAUCUUCGGCAAUGGACGGAAGUCUGACCGAGAAACGCCGCGUGAGUGAAGAAGGAUUUCGGGUCGUAAAGCUCUGUUGUAAGAGAAGAACGAGUGUGAGAGUGGAAAGUUCACACUGUGACGGUAUCUUACCAGAAAGCGACGGCUAACUACGUG
rnacentral:rRNA from 1 species